rnacentral:ncRNA from 1 species
UAACAAAGGCAGGGGUACUAUAUCUCACUGAAAAAGUAGGUAUGGUUGAGAAAAACUCUUUAGCUGAUCUAAUUAAUAUUAGCGUAGCGAGACUUUAAAUUUCGUCU